ensembl:miRNA mirlet7d-1 microRNA let7d-1
UGUGCUCUGCAGUGUGAGGUAGUUGGUUGUAUGGUUUCGCAUAAUAAACAGCACGGAGAUAACUGUACAACCUUCUAGCUUUCCCUGCGGAGUCAC